CCUGAGUGCAGCCGUGAUUUUCUUCUACCCGAGAAAGAUCUUACAACUUGGAGGAAAUGCAAGCUUUACAAAAGAUUAAUUGGAUAUAAUCUAUCUCGUACAGAUCCUGGUUAUCAAUAAGAUACCCUCCCCUUCACACUCCUGCCUUCUGGGAGCAGCAUCUAGAACCUAUCAUAUUCUCAGAAAGUCUGCCCGGCUGAAUGAAUGCUGAGAACACAGCAAAGUUUGAGGUUACCAGAUGGCAAACUCUUUAUACCAAUCCCUCCUUACUGAAGCUCUUGAGAGAAUGGUCCGCAGGCUCAUCCAUGUACCAUGACGUGGUUUUAUGCUCUGAUUUAUGCUGCUCCUCUGAUGGUAUCACGGAUCUGUCUGCACGGUAUUAAUUCCUGCAGUCUUUGAACAGAAUCCUGACUCGAGGGAAAAUUCAAAGUUAGUUGUAGUUUGGAGGUAGAAGAGCAUGUCCUUGGGGUGUGAUGGCACAAACUCCUAUAACGACUCACAUAACCAACUCUGGAAAAAACGGAAGGGCUCCUGGAGUCCAUCAUCUGUCAAUAAGGUAAGGUUGGCUCUUAGCCUCACAAUUCAACAACAAAGCUUGCUGUGAGUUAGGACCAAAGUUACAGAUUAACACGUCAUUCUCUCAGUAUAGCUCCAAGGAGCAGGUGCUGCAACUCUAACCCAACCAGCAGAUGCAUGUAGACUUCCCCAAUGCUUGUCCCCUAGCACCCCUAGACCUUCUUCCCAUACACAUGCCUCCCAGGACCGAUCCGCCUGCCUUUAAGCAUCCAGGUCAGAAUGUUAGCCAAGUGGCCCGGGAGGUCUACUUUGCCCGGCUUCACCGAGCCAGGAGAUGACUCAUCGAGCCGGUUCCCCGGCUCUUUGGGGCUCUGGCGAGCAACUGGAGAGGUGCCCUCCCUCCCCGCAGGCCCGGCGGGGCGGGGCAGGACUCCGCCAGCCUAGGCUGGGAGCGGGAACCG
rnacentral:lncRNA from 1 species